GCCUGGGUGGCUCAGUCGGUUAAGCGUCCGACUUCAGCUCAGGUCACGAUCUCGCGGUCCGUGGGUUCAAGCCCCGCAUCAGGCU
rnacentral:tRNA from 1 species